rnacentral:lncRNA from 1 species
AAUGGUCGAUACAAAGGUGUUCUCCACCGAGCAACAGUUAACUCAGAGAAAAAGCGGCUUUCCAUUGCCAGCCUUCUAGUCUAGCUUUAGGCAAGAAAGUUAGACCUGCACCAGCACUUGUCGAUGAAAAACAUAUCUUGUCCUACAAAGAAGGAGGCUUCAGUGAUUUCCUUGACUUCAUUUCUGGAGAAGAUAUUGUGGAAGCAAAGUACAUAGACAAACUAAAAAUAAAUCCAUGACAGUAAUAGUCCAUGGACAGCAGAGCAGAUGAUACAAGAAUUCUCACUUUUACACUCUUCACACUUCACGUCAUACAAUCUGUUUGCACUUGUUAAAAUGCAAAGGUUAUAUUCAGUAGCCAUCUUUCGUACAUACUUUGUUCUAACAUCACUGGUGAGAGGCCCAUCUUUCUUCAAAAAAUUUUCCUUUUUUUUAUUUUUUUUGGAAAAAGAAAAAUAAGGGCUCUUAUUUCUUCAUGCUAGGAGGCGUCACUGUGAAAAAUAAAUUUGGAACAGACUUUACCUGUCAUAUUAGGGUUCCCUCAAGGCCACUUAUGAUUUGAGGAUCCAUAAUGUUUGCACCACCAGCAAAAUUAAGAUGUAUCAUCAAGAUCUUCACUAAACCCAAUGAUAUACCUCUGUUAGAAGCCAGCAACUGGAAAAAUCAAAUAAUUUCCAAAUAGGGAAAGAGUUUUAAUAUUCACAUCUAAUCUAGUUUAAGACAAAUAUAGGUCAUACCACAAGUUCAGAACUCAAGCUACAUUCAUCAGUUGGUAAAUGGCUAUACGCGCUUAUAGGAGCAUGUGCUCUCACAGAAGGUAACGUUUUGAUGGUAAAUUGAUACAGAAUGUUUAGUUAAGACCUUAAACCAAUUAGACGUGCAAAGAACAUUAUACUGAUUUACAACCACAACCAUAUACAACAAAGUGACCUUCCAACAAUAGUAUCUGUAAACAUAGCGCAGAAAUAGCCAGCACAACAACCGCUCUCAUAUUAAUAUUAUCAUUCUUUUAUUCUUUCUGGUUUUGGGUUGAGAAGUUACCAUUAUAAGCAAACAGGGAAGCAUGGCUUCAAACUCAACUUCCAUGACUCAGGUAAUGCUCAGAUAUGAUGCCCAACCCUUACUAUCAUAUAGUGUAGACCUCGCUAAUGUUCAGACAUCCAAGCUGUUGUUUCUCCAGGAUUAUCCACUUGUUUCAAACCUCCUUCAAACUAACAUGAAAUUAUUGCAAACCAAGGAAUAAAUUUUCAGGCGAAUACAUCUGAAUUUCUUUAAAUAAAUUGGCUACUGUACGUAGAUUUGAUUUCCUAUUGCACUAAAUAGCUGCAAUCAUCACCUUUGUUAGUCAGAUAACAUGGCAAACUUGCGAUGCUUUCCACCUCCUAAAAGAUUAUAUCCAUGCAUCAUCAGAAUAGGUUGUUAAUGUUUCUAUAAACAAACACCUGUAGUUUGUUUAUCUUAAUUGUUUCUAUUUACUUCCAGUUAAUUCAUUAUAUCUCUACCCUGCGGGGUAGGGGUAAGGUCUGCGUACACACUAUCCUCCCCAGACACCACUAGUGGGAUUUUACUGGGUCGUUGUUGUUGUUGUUAAUUCAUUAUCACCACAUGACAUAUAGGAUUCAGCCAUCGCUAGUCCAUAAUUCAUGUUGAUAACUAAUCAUUUCCUCCAUAGAGUGCAAGCUUAAUCUUUAGAAAUAAGCAUGAAAUAUCCUCAGAUCUCAUCACAAAACCGUCAUUUUUCCCCGAUUUUUCUCAGUAGAAAAUUUUACAUUGACAAUUGAUUUAAAAUAAUUUAGCAUGAAUUUCUGCUUUUACCCAUUCAGAUAGUCACUGAAAUCACAUUUUCCUCCCUUUUUGGUGCAAUUAGUCGACUCUUGAGUUAUAUCUAGUCAACACCAAAUUAUAAUAUCAACAAUCAUUUUUGUCCUGUUUUAUUAAUCUCCCAAAGGUGAUAAUGGAUAACCCAUUAAAGGCCAAGAACAUCAGAUUAUUCAAGGAGCAAGAUGCGUUAUUCAUAUUUCAAGAGAUUAAUCAUUCAUUUCCUCAGGGAAAAAAAGGUAUUCAUUUUCCUCCUUGAUCUUACUCAGGAUUUCUAAUUUCUUCAGCUGUUGACGCCAAUUUUUAGAAAUUCACAUUUUAGUGCAAUUUUAACUAUUUAAAAAUUAUUAAGUCGAACUCUUCUCGCUAAUUCAGUAUUAUCGUAGUUACACAAACAAAAAUCAGCUAUUCGAAGUUGCUAAAACGACUGCUCGAUUUCUUCUCGAUAUGAUGGUUAAAUCGUACGUUUGAUUUGCAUUUAAUCUCAAGAUAUACGAAUAGCAACAAAUAAAAUUGCAGAUAUACAUGAAUCUCACUAUAAUUAGUAAAGAAUUUAAUACACAAAAAAUUAUUAAAAUUAUAGAAAAUUUCAACUGAAUUCGUAGCACAAAAAAAACGCGGGAAAAACACUUACGAAGGGCAGUGAAAAUUGAUUCGAAAAAUUAGCCGUAACUCUCUGCCUUUUCAUACGUCUCUGAUCUUCUCUGUCCCUAUCGCUAAGCCUCUCCUCCAUUUUUACUUUUUCCUGAUUUUCAAUUUUCAACGAAGGGGGCUUGGAAAAUCGAAGAGAGGUGGAUUAAUUUCCUACUCCGCGGGUUUACCGUAUGGCUUUUUCACUUCGGCCAUUAGUUAGCCACGUGUCUAUUCAGUCGGCUCACAUUCUUAUAGGAUUUUGAGCAGUUUUUGAGUGUUUGCGAAGAUCAAAUUGUAUUUUUUUAUUUCGAAAACUUAAUUUCAACUAAACACUGCCUAAUAAACACUUCUAGAAACAUUUCAAAAAGAAAAAAACCACAUCUCACAGAAUAUUUUAUAUCAAAUAAAUUACUUAUUAAAGCGUCGAACUCAUUCUGAUCCCACUUUAUACAUCAAAAUUUCAUAGAACACUAUAUUCGUAUCUCAUUAACUAUGAAAUUAAAAGGGAAAAAAAUGUUUUAAGAAAUUACAUCAUUUCUAAUAAUGAUAAAAAGAUUAUAGGAAAGUAGAAGUGAACCCAAAAUUUAAAAGUGACGAGCACUACUAUCAAAUAAAAAUUCGAAGAUAAAUCAACCAAUACAUCUAUAUAGGUGUUGAGUUUACAAUGUCAAUCAAAAUAUAUAUAUGGCAUUUAAUAAUACAUAUAUAUAUAUAUAUACGAAAUUACCGUGGGAGCAAUGACCCUCUACCAAAGAAUAGAUCCGGCCUCCGUAAACAGAAGUUUCUAAAAAAUCAUUAAAAUUAGGUGUAUGCUAGACAAUACUCCUCACGAUCACAGGACUUAGUUUGAUUUUCAGCGCAAAGAAGUUCUUAAAACCAUUAACAAUGUUUUUUUAACAAUAAAACAAAAAUAUUUGGAAACUUCACUGAGUAUAUAUGCAAGUUCGUCAUAAUUUUAAAAUUAAUUUAUUUUAAAAAAUAUUUUUCAAAAAUAUAUUUUAGGUGAGAAACUGUUUGUGUUUGAUUAAUUAAUUUAAAAAUAAUUAAUUUGAAGCAGGAAAUAAUAUUUUACCAUUAUUUUUAAAUAUAUUUUUCUUAAAAAUAAUUUUCGAAAAAAUAUUUUUUGGGAAGAAGUUACUUUUAUUUGUGCUUCUCAAAAAUUGAUUCAGCUAUUACUCAAAGUAUUUUCUUUUUCAGUUUUAAAAAUUAGACCAAAUAACUUAACUUUAGGAAAAAUAUAUUUUUGGCCAAAAUUAAAUACUUUUGGCAGGAAAAAAAAAAAACACGACCAAACAAGCUAUAUCCACUGGGAGCAUUGUAGACAAGAAUUCCCUCGAGUGGGCUGGAGACAGUGAAGACUGGCACUUGAUUCCAAAAUAGAUGCUUCUUAUGCUUUCACCUGAAAAUACUGCGUGUGCUCAAGAGUAGAUAUGUAAAACGUUAAAAUAACACUUCCAUCGGGUUCAUACACAGUAGAAAACCUAAAAAUUUUAAAAAUAUUUAAAUUUAAAAAAUUAAAUAAAAUAUUUAUUAAAAAAUAUUUAAUUCAUAUAAUAUAUUUUUAAGAUAUAAUAUUUCAAUUUUCACUAAUAUAUAUAAUAUAAUUUUCUGACGAAUAAUGAUCAGUUGAUAAUCAUCCUUAUCAUCAUGUGAUUUCAUCAUUAUAACCACACUUAUUCUAAAAAACAUACACAAAGCCAUGCACACUCGGGGGCGGAGCCACGUUAAAAAGAAUUAUAAUCCCAAAUUUAUAAAGUUUAAAUUCUAGCUACGUCUUUAUGCACACUCUCUCACACACAUAUAUGGGGGCGGUUUGCAGCCUGAAAUUUAACCCGUGGACAACUUUGUUUGAGUUAGCUCACUCUAACAAAGGAAUUAGAUCAAAUAACAAGAAAAUAAAUUUUUACUGCUCUAGAAUAACUUCCCCUAAUCAACAAUGCGAUUCACUUGUUAUUGCAUUUAUCAUUUAAUUAACAUAUAAAAAUUGUUUCUAAAGAAUUGAUUUCCCAUUUACGGAGAACUUAAUAUUCUAUAUUUUUCAAGUGCGAUAGUCUUUUUCUGUUCUCCCAUUGCCUAUCAAGCGUCUUCAAAGAUAUUAUAUUUUGUAUUCAAUUUCUUCCCUCGUGAGUUAUAUACUAAAAGUUUUGAACAUAUAAAAGGAUUUAUUUUAAAUAAAUAAAAAAUAAUUUCCUUGAUCAAAUAUAAAUAAUAUUUUACAAUAGAUACUUCAAGCUACCAAAUUUUGCCACAUAUAUGAGAAUCAAUUGUAUUAAAGAAGAGUUCCUUCCAAUAAUUAAUCAAUAAGAAUAAUUCAACAUCUCAAAAAUUAUCACCUGCUUAUCCAGUAGCAAUAUAAAUUAAUAAAAAUCUCUUCGUUUCAAAAUUACAUUAAAAAUCAGAAAGCAGGAGAUCCCAAAGACAAAUUUUCAUGUCAUGGAAAUUAUUACUUUUUAAAUUGCUAUACUUAAUAUGAUCAAAGAUAAAUUGAAAGAAAGCCAUGAUUAACUUUACACAUUUGGAAAGCAGAAUGUAUAUAUUAAAUGCAAUGUGUAAUUGGCCUUUAUUAUGGAUUAUCAAACAAGUCAAAAAUCAGAAAGAAAGGAAACACAAUAGUGGAAGUAAUCAACAGAAAAUUAAUAGUUUCCAGAUUAGAGUUGAAAUUAACUCAAGAAACUAGGAUUUGUUUUUUAUACAAAUUUUUACCAUAUUACAAAAUUAAACCUGCCAAUGCUCUGCUUAAGCUUCGGCAGCAAACUUCAAGUAAAAUGAUAUUAUAAACUAUAUAUGUAGAAGAAUGUCGGUAUAUAUAUUAUUCGAAAGCAUCCAUAUAUACACAACAACCUCAAGAGGAAAAGGAAAAUGGAAGAGAUUAUAGAAGUGAAAUUAAGUUGUAAAUGCAAGUUUUGUUUUCCUCUAAAUUCCAUGCAGACGUACCAUGCAUAAGUAUUUGUCACUGCAAUCAUCUUUAGCAGAAUUUAUCAAGACGUUGAUGUUGCUGAAAUAUGCUGCCUACCACUUUUGUUUUCCUUCUUCAAUUCCUCACUAUUAUUUUCUCACCACCUUAGGUAAAAUACUCUAUACAUAUUCUCCCACUCCCAUCACAAA